AGAGCGCGUGAGUGGUGAUCGGUUUGUGCGGGUCGGACGGUUCCCUGCUUGUGCAGCGACGUCAGUCUCGGCAUACCUCUUCAGUUGUGCCAUCAAGUGCAUUCAUUUGCCUUGAGCGCUGUUGGGUUCCUGUGUUGCAUACCAACUAACGGUAUUCGCUGCCAUACGACGCUUUCUCACCCCGCUUCGCUUGCGCGAUGCGGGGCGACACCGAGGCGCGCCCUGUUAUCCACGAAAGUUACGUACGCACGCUUGUUUCGUGGUUCGCUGGUCGUGGCCGAUCUCGUGGAUACGGAACCUUGUGCGGGCAUGGAGCCUUGGCUCCUAUUUGCCUAAAUAUAGUGUUCACGCUUCUGACGAACGACUGUUGCUUCCGUGUUGAUCGCUUAUUCGCCUUGUGGCGUCGGGGGACCAUGCGGAGGGGACGUCGAUGUGGAAUGCUACCUGGUUGAUCCUGCCA
rnacentral:misc_RNA from 1 species